CUUCUGCUGUGAUGAAUUCAUGAAAAUUUCACAUGUCAGACUUCAGAGAGAAAUCUAUGAGAAGAUAUUCAUGUAUCUGAGCAAAAU
rfam:Solanum tuberosum cultivar DM 1-3 516 R44 scf00241_25, whole genome shotgun sequence.